CACACAUUCUCGGACUCCAUUUUUUCAUUUUGGGGGCUGCUGCAACGUAUUGAGAGGGGGGAUUUUCUUCUUUAAAAAAGGUUUUAAAUGGAGCUUCCUGCGGAGAUGGCAGUGGACACGGGUUGAAGAUUAUGUUUUCCUUUUGCAAUGAGUUAAUUUCAAAUUGAGAAUGAAGGCUUAUUUAACUCUUUGCCAUUUUUUUUAUUUUAUCGGUACACUUUUUAAUUGAGCUCACUGCUGCAUUGUUAUACAAUUUUUUUUCUCAUAUUAUGCAAGUUGAUUUACAUGUUGUUGUAGUAGUUUGGAUAUCCAGUUUGCUUGCAUUUAAUUCAGCACUUUUAUUUGGUUCAUUCUCGGUCCUUUCAACUUUUAUUUUUUUUAUUAUUUGGUGAUAUCCAUUCUCGGUGCUUUCAACUUUUAUUUGAUAUCCAUUUUUUUUUAAUUGAGGCCAUGAUUUAUUUAGCUUGAAAAAAAAAUAUGCAAAUGCUUUUAUGUGCACGUUAAUUGACAGAGGCAAUGGAUUUUGGCUUUAAGUGUUUAUUUUAUUCAUGCUAAUUAAUUUUGGUUUUGGUGUACCCCACGCUGAUUUCAUCAAACGGAACAAAUUGCACAUAUUUACUUUCUUCUUAGCGGUGCACGAGAAUUUUGG
rnacentral:lncRNA from 1 species